AGUGAACGCUGGCGGUAGGCCUAACACAUGCAAGUCGAACGGCAGCACAGUAAGAGCUUGCUCUUACGGGUGGCGAGUGGCGGACGGGUGAGGAAUACAUCGGAAUCUACUUUUUCGUGGGGGAUAACGUAGGGAAACUUACGCUAAUACCGCAUACGACCUACGGGUGAAAGCAGGGGAUCUUCGGACCUUGCGCGAUUGAAUGAGCCGAUGUCGGAUUAGCUAGUUGGCGGGGUAAAGGCCCACCAAGGCGACUAUCCAUAGCUGGUCUGAGAGGAUGAUCAGCCACACUGGAACUGAGACACGGUCCAGACUCCUACGGGAGGCAGCAGUGGGGAAUAUUGGACAAUGGGCGCAAGCCUGAUCCAGCCAUACCGCGUGGGUGAAGAAGGCCUUCGGGUUGUAAAGCCCUUUUGUUGGGAAAGAAAAGCAGCAGGUUAAUACCCCGCUGUUCUGACGGUACCCAAAGAAUAAGCACCGGCUAACUUCGUG
rnacentral:rRNA from 1 species